UGGCCUUGCGCAGCGCGGCGCGGAUCCUGUCGCUGGCGCUCGCCCUGGCGGUGGUGGCUGAGGUGUCCUGGGCCCGGAGACCGUCGGGCGCGCUAUGGCCUGGGCAGGGCUGCGCGGCGCUGGGUCGCUGCUGUCUGGGCCGUGAUCCGACCUGCGUCGCCCACGGACCCCCGCGCUGCUUCUGCGACCAGGCGUGUGGCGCGGUGCGGGACUGCUGCCCCGACUACGCGCGGGUCUGCCCAGUCCCUGCUCUGAUAACCACUGACAGCUACGGGAAGGAGCGGAAAAAGCGAGGGGUCCCCAAGAAGCAGGAGACAGCAGGGUACUGUGUUCAGUUUCAGCUGGGGCCCGUUCCAGGGAGCUGCCGACAGGUGAAGGCGCCUCACGCCCAGUGGACAAGGUACCUGACCCAGGGCCACACGAUCUGUGUGAGGUGUGAGUGGCCUGCCCAGGAUGCCAGGAGCCGGCGCUGCUACGGAGAUGGUGCCGGGACAGGAGGGUAAGCCCUAGACUUUGGGCCUGAGGAAGUGGGAUUGUAGAGCCCUGGGCGUCUCUGCUAUCUGAGGGACAAAGGUGCUGUAGCAGUCAGAUGUUGACUUCUGGCAGGAGUGGGGCCCACGAGGGUCCGGGCUCCAGUGUCCCGGAAGGAGCAGCUCCUGCCUCUCCCGCUGUA